rnacentral:rRNA from 1 species
ACACUCCUGCGGGAGGCAGCAGUGGGGAAUUUUGGACAAUGGGCGAAAGCCUGAUCCAGCAAUGCCGCGUGAGUGAAGAAGGCCUUCGGGUUGUAAAGCUCUUUUGUCAGGGAAGAAACGGUGAGAGCUAAUAUCUUUUGCUAAUGACGGUACCUGAAGAAUAAGCACCGGCUAACUACGUGCCAGCAGCCGCGGUAAUACGUAGGGUGCAAGCGUUAAUCGGAAUUACUGGGCGUAAAGCGUGCGCAGGCGGUUUUGUAAGUCUGAUGUGAAAUCCCCGGGCUCAACCUGGGAAUUGCAUUGGAGACUGCAAGGCUAGAAUCUGGCAGAGGGGGGUAGAAUUCCACGUGUAGCAGUGAAAUGCGUAGAUAUGUGGAGGAACACCGAUGGCGAAGGCAGCCCCCUGGGUCAAGAUUGACGCUCAUGCACGAAAGCGUGGGGAGCAAACAGGAUUAGAUACCCGUGUAGUCC